GACGAACGCUGGCGGCGUGCUUAACACAUGCAAGUCGAACGGAAAGGCCCUGCUUUUGUGGGGUGCUCGAGUGGCGAACGGGUGAGUAACACGUGAGUAACCUGCCCUUGACUUUGGGAUAACUUCAGGAAACUGGGGCUAAUACCGGAUAGGAGCUCCUGCUGCAUGGUGGGGGUUGGAAAGUUUCGGCGGUUGGGGAUGGACUCGCGGCUUAUCAGCUUGUUGGUGGGGUAGUGGCUUACCAAGGCUUUGACGGGUAGCCGGCCUGAGAGGGUGACCGGCCACAUUGGGACUGAGAUACGGCCCAGACUCCUACGGGAGGCAGCGGUGGGGAGUAUUGCACAAUGGGCGGGAGCCUGAUGCAGCAACGCCGCGUGCGGGAUGACGGCCUUCGGGUUGUAAACCGCUUUCGCCUGUGACGAAGCGUGAGUGACGGUAAUGGGUAAAGAAGCACCGGCUAACUACGUG
rnacentral:rRNA from 1 species